CUUCGUCUAAAUUAACUUUUACAGAAUUCUUUAAUGUAUUAAUUAAACACACAACAGUUUUCAGCUCGUUUAAUUGUAUUCUAUUGUGGUAAAUAAACGCUCACUAACAAACAAUGACGAUAAACGCUACAUUUGCAACGAUAACAUAGAGACUUUACCAUGGGGACACCAUAAAAUUCCCGUUCUUCAGGAACAAACCAAAGAGAACAAAAAGGAUAAUAAAGCUUGAUGUUAUGUAAAAUCGUGAUUAGUCUUUGGGUAUUAUUUAUUAAUCGUUUCAUUCAAUGUUAACAUUACAUUUCAUUUUAUUGUGUCGAAUAAAAAGAAACUAGUUUGGGCGAGCGGUCUAAGGCGCUAGAUUUAAGCUCUAGUUCUUACAAAGAGCGUAGGUUCGACUCCUACACCUAGCAUUUUUUUAAAGAGGGUUUUUUUUGGGUAUGCUCCAAACAAAUCAAGUUAGACAACCAACAAUACUGUUUUAAUUUAUUUCCUUACUAUAUGACGCUUCCCAAGUAAGACAACCAACAAAUCCAUAUCGUAUUUGGUUAGUUUAGAGGAGGAACUUCAUGGUUAGUCAUGUGAUUGAUCGCUACGUUCCGAACAGAGAUAUUCAAAUUCCCCACGUAGAAAACUGCGCAUGCGCACAAAUUACCCCACAUGUCACUUUUUUAGUGCGUUCCUUUUGUAACAAGUGCAUAUGCAACCCCAAUUGUCACCAUUGUCGAAUUCUUGUCAACGACCCCUUAAAAAUCACCUCUUUCGAACCUUCCCAGAAAAUCCCAACAAAUAGAUCCAUAUACUUCCUUUGUUCCAUCUCGCUAUAUCCCGUCCUCUCUCCGGUUUGCGGAAUUAAGGUCGAAACACAAAAGAUCGAAAAUUAUCAAAAAAUCGAAAAUACCAAAGGCCGAAUAACAAAAUAUCGAAAAUACAUUGCGUCGAAGCACAAAAAAUCGAAAACUAAAUACCGAAAUACAAAAGAUCGAAACUAUAAAACAUUGUAUUUCAAAUCAUCAAAUGAACAAGAGAAUAUUUUAUUUAUCAAAAAAAUUAUUACUGUUAUAAAUUGUAAGCAAUUUGGUGUAAAACUUGCAUGUAAUAAUCUUCGGUCUCGUUCUACUUUUGGGUAAAUUGCUUGACAACGUUCGCUAAUCUAUUGUUCUUGUCUUUGUACCGCUUAGUCUCUGGCUCCUUAUAUCCUACCAAUUGAUGGUCCAAUUUCAUGUUCUGGUAUUUUUGCUCUUCCAAUAAUUCUUCUAGAAAUUUCCAGAUAGAAGGAUUCUUCGCCUGAAUCCGUCUGUGGAAACUACUAUGCCAGCCCUCUGCAAUAUUGUUCGUUCUAGGUUGUUCGUUAAGUGUUCUGGCAUGGCAACUCCAUAAACUGUGUUCAAACAGCGGUUUCUUAUUGUUUUUUUUUUCGCAUUUACCUACAAAUUGUAACACAUUCUUAGUUAGUGAAUAUAACUCAUCUGCUGUAAACGUAGAACGGAAGAAAUAGCCUGUAGGUAUGGUAUACCUUGUGGAUAAUCCAUGUAUCACAAAACAAAGCAUUUUGUUUGCUACUUUAGGUUUUUCACCGAUUGUUUUUUCAGGUUUUGAUGGGUCAAGACCAUAAAUUCGAUCUUCUGAUCGGCUAUAAUGUAGUUUUUCAGUUUAUAGCCUUUAGGACUGCAGAAUCUCCAUACUGUACACAUACGGACGGUAAUUUCUGACCAUCUUGGUAUUUUUUUAUAAUUUUUUAGAAUGUCUAAAAUAAAUAAAGAUUUUUCAUCUGCAUUGGUUAUAUUCUCAAUAAUUUUCUCAAUGUUUCAUUUUUUUAAUGCAGUGACCUGUUCUUCCAAAUGAUUUACUUUUGAUAAGACAUUGCGAAUAUUUUGCCUGCAUUCUCUUAAGCUGUAACUUUAAUACCUUACAUUGAUAUUUGAGAUCCUGAAACUCUUUGUUUUCAUCAGACUGCAUAUGUGAAAUUUGAUUAGAAUUUUAUUGUUCUAAAACUACUACAGUCGGGUUGGGACCCGGUAGGAUGUUAGUAGAAUCAGUAAUCUGAAAUAUAUAAGGCUAUAGUUAGUAAAGUGUAUGUUGCUAACAGAAAUUUGUUUUUAUCUACGUUAAAAGUGGGAAGUGCGUUUUUGCAAAGGCGCAUACGUUUUGCUUUGGCAUCGAAACAGUCUCUUCCAAAAUGGUUGGAACAUAAUACUGUGUAAUCACUUAUUUUACUCGAGUCUACAAUAAUGUUUUAACGAGUUGUUACAUUUUUUCCAUUUUACAAACCAUUAACUAAUUUUAACGACUCCAUCCAUUUGUUUCGCACAUUAACAUCAUUUGGAAUACUAAAAAAUGGCUUUUCUGCAUUUCCGCAAACAAAACAUUUUCGUCCCAUCGUGGAAAUAUCAAAUGAAUUUGAAAAAGUCAAAUUUACAUUUGAAAAUGAUAGUUCACGUAGAGCUAUGGAGACGGCGCAGUCUUAUGUUCACCGCGGCCUACUUUGCGGGAACAACUUUUUACAAAAUCGAAACGGCCUUAUUUCGAGAGAUUGAUGAAGUUGGUGAUGAUCAACGCGCGGAAUUGUAUCUCAUACGCUAGAACCAGUGCUGACGCGGCGAUAGUUUGAUUACAAAUGUAUUUUUAUUUGGACUAUAUCAACAUAAUAUAACAUUUCAAGAUCACAAAUCUGUGGCCCUGUGGUUGAAAAAUUAAAAAGGGAAUCGAGUAUUAUUAUUUGAAGUAAUAUAUAGUAAUGUAGACUACUCGCCGUAAAACACACCUUACUUCAACUGGGGGAUUGCAGCGGUGAGAUAAAAUCCUGCGUACUGAUGAUGAAUUGAUGAUAUUCAAACUUCGCGCAGACAUCGAGCGGACAUAGGAUAAACCACAACCUGGAGUGCGUUCAGAAAUGAGACAAGGAUCAUACUAGCGUAACUCCUGCCGUUCAAAAUAAUUCAGAAUGAUCCAAAGUUAUGACGUCAGAAACGUUCAAAAAUUACCAGAGUGAUACCCAUGGUCAACACCCACCUCGGAUGAUGGGCGAUAGAGAGUGAAAAGGCGGUUCUGACAAACGUGACUUAUUUGAUUUCAAAUUUUUUAUACUUUGAGGUUAUGAUUACUCGGAAUCCGUUGCAUCAUAUUUUGUUCGUUUGUGUCAAAGAGAGAUAUGGCAAAUAAAUACCGCCUAAUCGUCAACGAAGACAACCAGCCCAUCGUUGAUGGCAAUAAUAUAUUACUGCAACAAAUAGAAGACGACACAUGUGUUUCUACUCUAACGGAGGAGAUAAAAAGUUAUUUUAACAUAACAACUGCUGCUGCUGUGUCCACAUGUACUGCUGAUGAGGGAAAUUGUAAUGGACGUGUAUGGUGUCGAAAUGGAAUAUUGAUGCCGAUUGCACAAGUGAAACAAUUCCAAGCGCAGUUUUUAUCCACCACCAUGAAAAAUGACAAGGUAUGGCGAAAUAUUGCUGAAGAAAUGGCCAAACAUAAAUUUCAUCUUUCACCCAGUCAGUGUCGUGACAAGUGGAAAUAUUUAAAGCAAAGGUAAAAAUAGUAUAUUAUUAACCAAGAUUGUGAAGGCAGUCAUUCUAGACCGAGCGCAAAUUAGAACCCGAGACGCGCAGCGUCGAGGGCUAUAAAGCGCGAGGUCUAGAAUUGGCUUCACAAACGUGGUUAAUAUACUAUUUUUUCCACUAGUAGCCCAUUUGAGGUUUGCAAAUUUUCAAAAUGUUUUUUCUGAUAUGCAUCAAUAAAAACGUGUACUCACGUCAUUUUAGUAAGCUUUGGAAUUUUGUUAUUUUUUGACAGUCCAAAACUUUUGUUUCAAUUUCCACCAUAUUUCCCGUUUUAAAUAAUUUUUUCUGUGAAAAAUGUUGGAAGGUGAACCAUCAUGUACCCCUCCUGAAAUAAAAGAGACGGCACUACGCAUGUAAGAACAGCUACUUCCAGAAAAAUCAAAAAAACUGUACCUGAAGAUAUAUUCAGAAUUUAAGGAUUGGUGCUUGGGAAAAAAAUUGGGACAACGUCUGAAAAUGUGCUUAUGGUAUAUUUCAACGAACAGGCCAAAACGAAAAAGGCAUCCACAUUAUGGGCAACGUAUUCAAUGCUCAAAUCCACAAUUUCCCUAAAAGAAAACAUUAGAAUCGAAAAUUACCCACGACUUAUGUCAUUUCUCAAGCGACAAAAUGCAGGUUACAAACCUAAAAAAUCUUUCGUGUUUUCGCAAGAAGAAAUCACUCGAUUUUUAACAGAAGCUCCUGAUAAAGAUUUUUUAUCAAAAAAGGUGAUCUGUGUUAUGGGAGUGGCUGGUGCUUGCCGCACUGAUGAGUUAUGUAAUAUAAAGAUGAAAGACAUUAUAGUCAAGGAGGAUAUUAUCAUUGUGAAUAUACCAACCAGCAAAAAUGGAGCGUCGCGAAAAUUUGUUGUGAUAGAACCUCUGUGGACUGAGAUAAUUCGAAAGUACACUUCAAAAAGACCUACCCCUGAUAUGCCAAAAUUAUUGAUUGGUUUUCGUGGGGAUAAACCUACAAGACAAAAUAUUGGUCACAAUACAAUCAGCAAAACUCCAAAUACUAUAGCGAAAUUCCUAGGAUUAAAAAACCCAGACCAGUACACAGGACACUCAUUCCGUCGUACUUCCGCGACAAUUUUGGCUGAAAAAGGCAUAGACCUUUUAUCGUUAAAGCGACACGGGGGAUGGAAAUCCUCCAGCGUAGCAGAAGGAUACAUCGACGACUCGAUAUCCGAUAAGAAAAAAAUCGCCGAAAUGGUCCAAAGUUCAUUUACGACACAUUCACUCCCGUCAGCUUCAGUUUCAUUCCGGUCCACUUCCGUUUCAUUCCCGUCCACUUCUGUUUCAUUCCCGUCCACUUCCCGCGGUCCAGAGCACGAAAUUCUUAACUCCACGAUAGACAUACCUGCAGCCAGUUUUUCCAAUUCAAGUACAAAGACAGGGACUGCUGGUAUCAAUAUGACGUGCCACAAUUGCACCAUCAACUAUUAUUUUAAUAAGAAUUAAAUGUUUCCUUACCGUUAAUAUUGUUAUAAGUUGUAAUAUUUCAGUUAUUAAAUUGUUUUAGUAUCACUAAGUAAUUUAUCGUCAAUUACACCGACAAUAAUCAAUUCAGGGUUCGGAAAUCAUUCCAGGGCAUAAUUUAAAAGCAAAUUUUCCAAAAUGAUCGUUUUCAGGUUAUGUCGCAUUUUUUCUGACAGUUGUGGAGAGUUGUCAUAUUAGGUGGCCAACUUCACGUUUACAUUAUUGACCAAGGUUCACAAUUUUCCAAAUUACAGACCUCUAGACAAGUCGACAAUUAGCCAUUGUAAUGCUACUAGUGGAAAAAAUAUAUUAAUUAAACAAACAUAUACCUUGUAUUUAUAUUGAACAACAUUUACAUAGAUAUAUGAAAAAGAGAUAAUAUGAAGGAUACACACAGUGGGGAGGAGCGAAUCAAAUUUGAAUAUUAUUAUGAACUUGAUGAUUUAUUAGGGAAAAAACCUAAUGUUGAACCUUUAGCCAUCGCGUCGUCAAGUCGUGAAAAUACUUCCCUUGAAAGCUUUACAGACGAUGAUGAUGAGCCACCACAGAAAAAAAAAAGAAGUGACAAGAAUGACUCUUUAAUGAGAGAACUUUUAAAUAACGUUAAACAGAAAGAUGAAGCUAGAGAGAGACGCCACCAAGAAAUGAGAGAAUGGAAAGAAAAAACUUUGGAAGUAUUUAAGGAUGCUAUGGCGAGUUUGUUAAAAAAACUUUAAAGUUAAAAAAUAUUUAUUUAUUCUAUUACCAGAGGGGUAGUUAUGUUUGUGUUUUCUUUAUCUCUUAUUAUUAUUAUUAUUAUUGAUAUAGUAGGUAAUACCUAGUAGCAUAAUGUUAUCUACUUUAAUAGAAAUAUUUAUUUUAUUUGAUUAUACGUUUACAAAACUAAUAUUAAUAAAAUUUGUUGU